rnacentral:rRNA from 1 species
CACGUAGGGGACGAGCGUUGUCCGGAUUCAUUGGGCGUAAAGCGCGCGUAGGCGGCUCGGAAAGUCGGUCGUGAAAUGCCGGGGCUCAACCCCGGGACUGCGUCCGAUACUUCCGGGCUGGAGGUAGGUAGGGGAGAUCGGAAUUCCUGGUGUAGCGGUGAAAUGCGCAGAUAUCAGGAGGAACACCGGUGGCGAAGGCGGAUCUCCGGGCCUUACCUGACGCUGAGGCGCGAAAGCUAGGGGAGCGAACAGG